CGAAGCCUCUUUACCAUCAGCGAGGUAUAGAGUUCCUACGUGCCGUAUCCAAAGUCGUAGGAACUUAAUACCGUGCUCUUGGAGGGCUGUCCAUC
rnacentral:pre_miRNA from 15 species